UACGUAGGGGGCUAGCGUUGUCCGGAAUCAUUGGGCGUAAAGAGCGCGUAGGCGGCCAGAUAAGUCCGGUGUGAAAGUCAAAGGCUCAACCUUUGAAUGCCGCUGGAAACUGUCUGGCUAGAGUCCGGGAGGGGCGAGUGGAAUUCCUGGUGUAGCGGUGAAAUGCGUAGAGAUCAGGAAGAACACCGGUGGCGAAAGCGCUCUGCUAGGCCGCAACUGACACUCAUGGACGAAAGCUAGGGGAGCGAAUGGG
rnacentral:rRNA from 1 species